UACGUAGGGUGCAAGCGUUGUCCGGAAUUAUUGGGCGUAAAGAGCUUGUAGGCGGUUUGUCGCGUCUGCUGUGAAAUUUCGGGGCUAAACCCCGAACUUGCAGUGGGUACGGGCAGACUAGAGUGUGGUAGGGGAGACUGGAAUUCCUGGUGUAGCGGUGAAAUGCGCAGAUAUCAGGAGGAACACCGAUGGCGAAGGCAGGUCUCUGGGCCAUAACUGACGCUGAGAAGCGAAAGCAUGGGGAGCGAACAGG
rnacentral:rRNA from 1 species